GGAUUGUUUUAACUUUUAAGUGAUCUCAUUAAAGUCUCUCAUUUAGUAGCUCCUCUGAAAAUUCUACCUAAAACCUUCACUGAUUCUCUCCAUCCCUAUGACCAAAAAUUCAUUUCAAUGCAUUUGACUACAAUAUUGUUUGAUACUACCAUAUUCUAAGAGACCACUUAGUAUCCACAAUCAUGAAUAAAUUAAAAUUUUGGAAAUAUUUCGGAUUGAAA
rnacentral:lncRNA from 1 species